AUAGCCGCCCGGCUAGCUCAGUCGGUAGAGCAUGAGACCCUUAAUCUCAGGGUCGUGGGUUCGAGCCCCACGUUGGGCGUGAGAUUUUGUCGGAUGGAUUAGACUUGCAACUUGGAAGAAAGUAAACUAAAUAAGAAAACGUGGAAGUGACUCCGUAUACCUUGCAAAUCGGGAAUUGUUGGUCAGGCAAACGCAAAACGCUCCACCAACCAACUGGCUUCAGGAUCCCCUUUGUCUUGUUUCAUAAAAAAAAGAGGCCGAGCGUCGUGGUUCAUGCCUAUAAUCCUCUCACUUUGACCCUAGGAGUUUGAGACCAGCCUAGGCAACAUGGUGAGACCCCCGGCCCUUAAAAAAAAUACAAAUUUUCGCCAGGCUUGGUGGUGUGCGCCUGUAGUCCCAGCUAUUCCAGAGACUGAGGCAGGAGAAUCACUUGAACCCGGGAGGUAGAGGUUACAGUAAGCCGAGACUGUGCCAGUGCACUCCAGCCUGGACAACACAGUAAGACUCCGUCUCAAAAUAAUAAUAAAAAGAAAUUGGCCGGGCGUGGUGGCUCACGCCUGUAAUCCCAGCACUUUGGGAGGUCGAGGCGGGCGGAUCACGAGGUCAAGAGAUCGAGACCAUCCUGGCUAACAUGGUGAAACCCCGUCUCUACUAAAAAAGAGAAAAAAUUAGCCGGGCAUGGUGGUGGGCGCCUGUAGUCCCAGCUACUAGGGAGGCUGAGACAGGAGAAUAGCGUGAACCCGGAAGG
ensembl:lncRNA novel transcript